AAACGUUCACCCCCUCUUGAGGGGGCGCAGAUGCUCCAAGCCAUGGAACGGGGACUUGGA
ncrna:unclassified sequences Glutamine-II riboswitch (downstream peptide RNA)